CGCGUAGGCGGGUCAGCAAGUCCGGGGUGAAAUCUUUCGGCUCAACCGGAAAAGUGCCUUGGAUACUGCUGGUCUAGAGGGAGGUAGGGGCAUGUGGAACUUCUGGUGGAGCGGUGAAAUGCGUUGAUAUCAGAAGGAACGCCGGUGGCGAAAGCGACGUGCUGGAUCUCUUCUGACGCUGAGGCGCGAAAGCCAGGGGAGCAAACGGGAUUAGAUACCCCGGUAGUCCUGGCCCUAAACGAUGGGAACUAGGUAGCGGACUGAACAUGGGUUCGCUGCCGAAGCUAAAGUGCUAAGUUCCCCGCCUGGGGAGUAUGGUCGCAAGGCUGAA
rnacentral:rRNA from 1 species